UACGGAGGAUCCAAGCGUUAUCCGGAUUUAUUGGGUUUAAAGGGUGCGUAGGCGGCUUAUUAAGUCAGUGGUGAAAGUUUGCAGCUUAACUGUAAAAUUGCCAUUGAUACUGAUGAGCUUGAAUAUAGAUGAGGUAGGCGGAAUGAGUCAAGUAGCGGUGAAAUGCAUAGAUAUGACUCAGAACACCGAUUACGAAGGCAGCUUACUAAGCUAUAAUUGACGCUGAGGCACGAAAGCGUGGGGAUCGAACAGG
rnacentral:rRNA from 1 species